rnacentral:rRNA from 1 species
GAUGAACGCUGGCGGCGUGCCUAACACAUGCAAGUCGAGCGGCAGCGAGGGGUGCUUGCACCCUGUCGGCGAGCGGCGGACGGCUGAGUAACGCGUGGGAACGUGCCCCAAAGUGAGGAAUAACUGCCCGAAAGGGUAGCUAAUACCGCAUAUUAUCUUCGGAUCAAAGGAUUUAUCCGCUUUGGGAGCGGCUCGCGUCGGAUUAGGUAGUUGGUGAGGUAAUGGCUCACCAAGCCGACGAUCCGUAGCUGGUCUGAGAGGAUGACCAGCCAGACUGGAACUGAGACACGGUCCAGACUCCUACGGGAGGCAGCAGUGAGGUAUCUUCCACAAUGGGCGAAAGCCUGAUGGAGCAACGCCGCGUGCAGGACGAAGGCCUUCGGGUUGUAAACUGCUUUUAUAAGUGAGGAAUAUGACGGUAACUUAUGAAUAAGGAUCGGCUAACUACGUG